rnacentral:rRNA from 1 species
UAUACAUGACUCUGCGCAUAUCAAUAAGCGGAGGAAAAGAAACUAACAAGGAUUCCCCUAGUAACGGCGAGUGAAGCGGGAAGAGCUCAAAUUUGAAAUCUUAAAGGGUUUCCCUUUACGAAUUGUAGUUUAAAGAAGUGUUUUCUGUUGAGGUUUUGGUAAAAGUUCUUUGGAAUAGGACAUCAUAGAGGGUGAGAAUCCCGUAUUUGACCUUUACUUUCAACUUUGUGAUACACUUCCAAAGAGUCGGAUUGUUUGGGAAUGCAGUCCAAAAUGGGUGGUAAAUUUCAUCUAAAGCUAAAUAUUGGCGAGAGACCGAUAGCGAACAAGUACCGUGAGGGAAAGAUGAAAAGAACUUUGAAAAGAGAGUUAAACAGUACGUGAAAUUGUCAAAAGGGAAGCGUUUGACACCAGUGUUGUUUUUCUGAAAAUCAAUUAAAGAACUGUUUAUGCUAAGUUGUUUAGACUUUAUCAGCUAACUGUUUAGUUUUGAGCUUUUCUUUAAUGCACUUUUCAGUUAACAAGUCAACAUCAAUCUCUUUUGCUGUAAAAAAGCUUGAGGAAGGUGGCUUGAGAUUCGUCUUAAGUGUUUAUAGCCUCUUGCCUAUGCAGUCGGAGAGAUUGAGGUCUGCAGCGUAGAUCCUUCGGGGCUAAAUGCAUUUGUGCUAAGUUAUAGCAUUUUAUAGACAACUUGUUGACUAUGAUUUGUCUUGUAGCUUACUCGCUUAUGUUAUUUUACCUACGCUUAGGAUGUUGAUCUACAGAGCGAGAGU